rnacentral:rRNA from 1 species
GUGGCGAACGGGUGAGUAACACGUGAGCAAUCUGCCCUUGACUCUGGGAUAACUGCGGGAAACUGUAGCUAAUACCGGAUACUUUCCUCGCUGGGCAUCCAGCGGGGAAGAAAGAAUUUCGGUCAAGGAUGAGCUCGCGGCCUAUCAGCUAGUUGGUGAGGUAAUGGCUCACCAAGGCGACGACGGGUAGCCGGCCUGAGAGGGUGACCGGCCACACUGGAACUGAGACACGGUCCAGACUCCUACGGGAGGCAGCAGUGGGGAAUAUUGCACAAUGGGCGAAAGCCUGAUGCAGCAACGCCGCGUGAGGGAUGAAGGCCUUCGGGUUGUAAACCUCUUUUAGCAGGGAAGAAGUGAAAGUGACGGUACCUGCAGAAAAAGCACCGGCUAACUACGUGCCAGCAGCCGCGGUAAUACGUAGGGUGCAAGCGUUGUCCGGAAUUAUUGGGCGUAAAGAGCUCGUAGGCGGUUUGUCACGUCUGCUGUGAAAAUCCGAGGCUCAACCUCGGACUUGCAGUGGGUACGGGCAGGCUAGAGUGCGGUAGGGGAGAAGGGAAUUCCUGGUGUAGCGGUGGAAUGCGCAGAUAUCAGGAGGAACACCAAUGGCGAAGGCACUUCUCUGGGCCGUAACUGACGCUGAGGAGCGAAAGCGUGGGGAGCGAACAGGAUUAGAUACCCUGGUAGUCCAC